rnacentral:rRNA from 1 species
ACGGAGGGGGCUAGCGUUGUUCGGAAUUACUGGGCGUAAAGGGCACGUAGGCGGCGCAGCAAGUUAGAUGUGAAAGACCUGGGCUCAACCGAGGAAUUGCAUUUAAUACUGCUGUGCUAGAGUCCGAGAGAGGUGAGUGGAAUUCCCAGUGUAGAGGUGAAAUUCGUAGAUAUUGGGAAGAACACCAGUGGCGAAGGCGGCUCACUGGCUCGGUACUGACGCUGAGGUGCGAAAGCGUGGGGAGCAAACAGG